rnacentral:miRNA from 1 species
UCUUCACGUACCUCUCUAUGGC